rnacentral:snRNA from 1 species
AUACUUACUUUGCAGGGGAGAUACCAUUUACCAUGAUCACGAAGGUGGUUUUCCCAGGGCAGGCUUAUCCAUUGCACUCUGGAUGUACUGACCUCUGCAAUUUCCCCAAAUGUGGGAAACUCAACUGCAAAAUUUGUGGUUGUGGGGGACUGUGUUUGCGCUCUAA